rnacentral:lncRNA from 14 species
UUGGGGAAUUUUUGUGGAAUUUUUGGGGAAUUUUUUUUAAAUUUUUAGGGGAUUUUUUGGGAAUUUUUCGGUAAAUUUUUUUGGAAUUUUUGGGAACAUUUUUGGGAAAUUUUUUUGGGAUUUUUUGGGGGAUUUUUUGGGAAUUUUUGGGGACAUUUUUCGGGAAUUUUUGGGAAUUUUUUGGGAAAUUUUGGGGGAAUUUUUGGGAAUUUUUUUAAAAUUUUGGGGACAUUUUUUUGGGAAUUUUGGGGAAUUUUUUGGGGAAUUUUUCCAGAAUUUUUGGGGGACAUUUUGGGGAAUUUUUUGGGGAAAAUUUUCGGGAAUUUAUUUUGAAUUUUUGGGAAAUUUUUCGGGAAUUUUUGGGAAUUUCCUCCCUUUCCCCUCCCCCACUGACACUUUCCUCCUUUUUCCCCCCAAAUUUUCCGGGAAUUUGGGGAAUUUUUUGGGAAUUUCCAGCGGCUGCUGCUCCCCCAGGGCUUCCCCGAGAGCGUCAGCCCCGACUACGGCGCCUACCAGGCCUGGGACGGGCUGCAGGCCCUCUGCUCCUCGCUCUGCUCCUCGCUCUCUGCCCGCGCCGUGCUCGAGGCCGUCGGGGUCGGCGACGGCUCCGCCUCCGUCACCGGGGCCGCGCUCACCUGGCUCAUCCGAGGUGGGGAAAGGCCCAAAAUUCCCCCGAAAAUUCACAAAAAAUUCCCAAAAAAUCCCCAAAAAAUUCCCAAAAAAUUCCCCCAAAAAAUUCCCCCAAAAUUCCCAAAAAAAAAAAAAAAAAUCCAAAAAAAUAUCACCAAAAUUUCCCAAAAAAAUUCCCCCCCAAAAAUUCCCAAAAAAUUCCAAAAAAUUCCCCAAAAAUUUCCCCAAAAACUUCCCCAAAAAUUCCCAAAAAAUUCCCCAAAAAUUUCCCCAAAAAUUCCUGAAAAAAUCCCAAAAAAUUCCCCAAAAUUUUCCCAAAAAUUCCCAAAAAAUUCCAAAAAAAUUCACCAAAAAUUCCCCAAAAAAAUUCC